rnacentral:tRNA from 1 species
GCACUCUUAAUUUAAUGGUUAGAAUAAUAGUUUACGGAACUAUAUAUAGGGGUUCGAUUCCCUUAGAGUGUG